GGUCUCUCUGCCAUAAAGGCCAGAUUGGAGAAGUGCUGCAGCGAUGGUUGAUCUUCUGUAAGUUUUUCCCAUCUGCAUACAGAAUCUUUGGAGCUCAGCCAGACUGACCAUUGGGAUCUUGGUCACCUCUCUUAUCAAGGCCCUUGUUUGAUGGGGCGGCCAGCUCUAGGAAUACUCUUAGUUGUUCCAAACUUCUUCCAUGUAAGAAUUAUGGAGGCUACUGUGCUUUUGGGAACUUUCAAUGCAGCAGAAAUAUUUUUGUACCUUCUCUAGAUCUGUGCCUCCACACAAUCCUGUCUCUGGGCUCUACAGGCAAUUCUUUCUUCCGCAUGGCUUGUUUUUUUCCUCUGAUAUGAAUUGUCAUCUGUGAGACCUCAUAUAGAAAGGGCCAUGUCUUUCCAAAUUAUGUGAAUGAACUAAAUUUACCACUGGCGACUCCGAUCAAGGUGUAGAAACAUCUCAGAGAUGAUCAAGAAAAAUGGGAGGCCUGAGGCCUAAGUGUCAUAGCAAAGGGUCUGAAUACUUAUGUCCAUGCAAAAAUUUAGUUUUUCCUUUUUAAUAAAUUUGCAAACAUUUCAAAAAUUUUGUUUUCACUUUAUCAUCAUAGGGUAUUGAGUUCAGAUUCACGUGAGAAAAGUGAAAGGGUAAACACUUUCCGAAUACCCGACUUUGGCAGGGGCUGACUGGAAACAAAGUGGCCUUUGAAAAAAAAAAAACUAAUAGUGGCCCCACAUUGGCUGAAGGCGGGAUCAACAAUAAUAUAGCGCAGCACAAAAUGCUGGCCCAGCAGAAAGAACUAGCAGCACAAAAUACCUUGGCAGAUGUUGGCGCCCUGUGGUGGCCAGCGCCAGCUGCCUCGUUCUGUCCUCCUCCUCCCUCAGUUGUCUCUACUUAAGAUAUGAAGAAGGGGGCUGAUGAGGUGAGACGCAGGCCCCAACACUAAGCCAUCCCUACAUUCAGCAUGCUGCCUGGUCUUUCAGUGCUACUAGACAUACAGGAGAAUACAGCACCUCAUACCUAGUAUUACAUCCUGUGAUGUCUCCUCUCAUGUAGAAGUUCACUUUCCUCAUCUUUUAUAUUCGAGCCAGACCUCCAUGACGACUUCUUUCAGCCAUAUCUUAUCUCUGCAGUUCGACACACAGACAUCUUAGACUCCUCACUUUUUCAUCACCCUUUCCACCUUCUCAACUCAAAUUCCUCAUCCCGAUGCCCUAACUGUGUUAUCCUGCUGCCUCCCCCAAUACUAUGCCCAAAAAGUUGCCAAGUAUGGCACUCACUCACCACUUUUCUGUGUGGGGCAUAGCAGGAGGGAACUGGGCCUCUGUGGCUAUUUAAUAUGAUUUAAGCCACAGAAUGGCGCCAACCCCUAACUCGGGUAUACUUGAGGUUUUUGGCGCACGGAGGACAAGAGACGCGCCUAAUGUAUUGGUCACACCGGCGUUAACAAUUGGAAAAGGGUUGAGGUCAACACCGACAAGGAGACGUGCCCAUAGGAACAUCCACAAGACAGCCCACAUGCAUUGUGAGAGCUCGUUCAUUCAUUUCAUUAGGGUCUGGUUAUUUCUAAUAGCUAAUGUGCGUUCAGAUUCAACCGCAGGUGUCCAUAACCGUGCGUAUCCAGAGUGACGUCCGGAUUACCAAGUCAAUAGAUCACAUUCCUAGCUGAAUGCUGAAAUUUUUUUUAUUUUGAAUUUGAUUUGAACAUCAUUUUUCCACAAUACAAUUCAGAUGUGAGAAAAUGCACAUAAAAUAUACAAGUCUGUCUAUAGCAUCCGGGAAUGAAGAAAGCAGUCACAUGCGGCGAUGCGGGGUGUAGGCGUCAUCGGGUUCUUACUGUAUCGGGCGCUAUGGUUUACAGCAUAUCAUACCUGGUUAUUGAAUGGGGAGUGGUAAAAACAUGGCAGUGAGAUGUGUGGUCUUUGGAGGGGGGUGGUCAUCCAUGGUGGAUGUUAUAUUACAGGGGACCAUAU